rnacentral:rRNA from 1 species
UACGUAGGUGGCAAGCGUUGUCCGGAUUUACUGGGCGUAAAGGGCGUGCAGGCGGUUUGUUAAGUGCAGGGUGAAAGCUCCCGGCUCAACUGGGAGAGGUCCUUGCAUACUGGCGAACUCGAGGGAGGCAGAGGAAAGUGGAAUUCCCGGUGUAGUGGUGAUAUGCGUAGAUAUCGGGAGGAACACCUGUUGCGAAGGCAGCUUGCUGGGCCUUACCUGACGCUGAGACGCGAAAGCGUGGGGAGCGAACCGG